rnacentral:tRNA from 1 species
GGCACUUUGGCCGAGUGGUCUAAGGCGCCGUGUUCAGGUUUCGAAUAUGUUCCUCGGAACAUAUCCACCUAUUCGCGGUCUAGUAAUAGGCGAGGGUUCGAAUCCCUCAGGUGUCA